UGGGUAGUCCGUACGAGCGCACCUUGUCCCUAGUUGCCAGCACUUCGGGUGGGAACUCUAGGGAGACUGCCGGUGAUAAACCGGAGGAAGGUGGGGAUGACGUCAAGUCAUCAUGGCCUUUAUGGGCAGGGCUACACACGUGCUACAAUGGCCGAUACAAAGGGCAGCAAAGCCGCGAGGUGGAGCGAAUCUCAGAAAAUCGGUCGUAGUCCGGAUUGCAGUCUGCAACUCGACUGCAUGAAGCCGGAAUCGCUAGUAAUCGCGGAUCAGAACGCCGCGGUGAAUACGUUCCCGGGCCUUGUACACACCGCCCGUCACACCAUGGGAGUGGGCUGUACCAGAAGUAGGUAGUCUAACCUUCGGGAGGACGCUUACCACGGUGUGGUUCAUGACUGGGGUGAAGUCGUAACAAGGUAGCCCUAGGGGAACCUGGGGCUGGAUCACCUCCUUU
rnacentral:rRNA from 1 species